AACAGAGGAUGCAAGCGUUAUCCGGAAUUAUUGGGCGUAAAGUGUCUGUAGGUGGCUUUUCAAGUCCGUCGUCAAAUCCCAGGGCUCAACCCUGGACAGGCGGCUGAAACUACCAAUCUUGAGUGCCGGAGAGGCAGAGGGAAUUUCCGGUGGAGCGGUGAAAUGCGUUGAGAUCGGGAAGAACAACAACAGGCGAAAGCACUCUGCUGGGUCGUCACUGACACUCAGAGACGAAAGCUAGGGGAGCGAAUGGG
rnacentral:rRNA from 1 species